CCUACGUGAGGCAGCAGUGAGGAAUAUUGGUCAAUGGACGAGAGUCUGAACCAGCCAAGUAGCGUGAAGGAUGACUGCCCUAUGGGUUGUAAACUUCUUUUAUAUGGGAAUAAAAUGUUCCACGUGUGGGAUUUUGUAUGUACCAUAUGAAUAAGGAUCGGCUAACUCCGUGCCAGCAGCCGCGGUAAUACGGAGGAUCCGAGCGUUAUCCGGAUUUAUUGGGUUUAAAGGGAGAGUAGGUGGAUUGUUAAGUCAGUUGUGAAAGUUUGCGGCUCAACCGUAAAAUUGCAGUUGAAACUGGCAGUCUUGAGUACAGUAGAGGUGGGCGGAAUUCGUGGUGUAGCGGUGAAAUGCUUAGAUAUCACGAAGAACUCCGAUUGCGAAGGCAGCUCACUGGACUGCAACUGACGCUGAGGCGCAAAAGCGUGGGGAGCAAACAGGAUUAGAUACCCCUGUAGUC
rnacentral:rRNA from 1 species